UACGUAGGCAGCGAGCGUUGUUCGGAGUUACUGGGCGUAAAGAGUGCGUAGGCGGUUUUCUAAGUUUGGUGUGAAAUCUCCCGGCUUAACUGGGAGGGUGCGCCGAAGACUGGAAGGCUUGAGUAUGGGAGAGGUAAGCGGAAUUCCUGGUGUAGCGGUGAAAUGCGUAGAUAUCAGGAGGAACACCUGCGGUGUAGACGGCUUACUGGACCAUCACUGACGCUGAGGAGCGAAAGCCAGGGGAGCAAACGGG
rnacentral:rRNA from 1 species